rnacentral:rRNA from 1 species
UACGUAGGGGGCUAGCGUUGUCCGGAAUCACUGGGCGUAAAGGGCGCGUAGGCGGCCUGAUAAGUAGGGGGUGAAAUCCUGCGGCUUAACCGCAGGGCUGCCUUCUAAACUGUCAGGCUGGAGCACAGUAGAGGCAGGUGGAAUUCCCGGUGUAGCGGUGGAAUGCGUAGAGAUCGGGAAGAACAUCAGUGGCGAAGGCGGCUAUCUGGACGGUUUCUGACACUAAGACUCGAAAGCGUGGGGAGCAAACAGG